rnacentral:rRNA from 1 species
GUUAAGUGGGAAACGAUGUGGGAAGGCCCAGACAGCCAGGAUGUUGGCUUAGAAGCAGCCAUCAUUUAAAGAAAGCGUAAUAGCUCACUGGUCGAGUCGGCCUGCGCGGAAGAUGUAACGGGGCUAAACUAUGCACCGAAGCUGCGGCAGCGACACUAUGUGUUGUUGGGUAGGGGAGCGUUCUGUAAGCCUGUGAAGGUGUGUCGUGAGGCAUGCUGGAGGUAUCAGAAGUGCGAAUGCUGACAUAAGUAACGAUAAAGCGGGUGAAAAGCCCGCUCGCCGGAAGACCAAGGGUUCCUGUCCAACGUUAAUCGGGGCAGGGUGAGUCGACCCCUAAGGCGAGGCCGAAAGGCGUAGUCGAUGGGAAACGGGUUAAUAUUCCCGUACUUGGUGUUACUGCGAAGGGGGGACGGAGAAGGCUAUGUUGGCCGGGCGACGGUUGUCCCGGUUUAAGCGUGUAGGUGUGUGUUCCAGGUAAAUCCGGUUCACUUUAACACUGAGGCGUGAUGACGAGGCACUACGGUGCUGAAGCAACAAAUGCCCUGCUUCCAGGAAAAGCCUCUAAGCAUCAGGUAACAUCAAAUCGUACCCCAAACCGACACAGGUGGUCAGGUAGAGAAUACCAAGGCGCUUGAGAGAACUCGGGUGAAGGAACUAGGCAAAAUGGUGCCGUAACUUCGGGAGAAGGCACGCUGACACGUAGGUGAAGUGAUUUACUCAUGGAGCUGAAGUCAGUCGAAGAUACCAGCUGGCUGCAACUGUUUAUUAAAAACACAGCACUGUGCAAACACGAAAGUGGACGUAUACGGUGUGACGCCUGCCCGGUGCCGGAAGGUUAAUUGAUGGGGUCAGCGCAAGCGAAGCUCCUGAUCGAAGCCCCGGUAAACGGCGGCCGUAACUAUAACGGUCCUAAGGUAGCGAAAUUCCUUGUCGGGUAAGUUCCGACCUGCACGAAUGGCGUAAUGAUGGCCAGGCUGUCUCCACCCGAGACUCAGUGAAAUUGAACUCGCUGUGAAGAUGCAGUGUACCCGCGGCAAGACGGAAAGACCCCGUGAACCUUUACUAUAGCUUGACACUGAACAUUGAGCCUUGAUGUGUAGGAUAGGUGGGAGGCUUUGAAGUGUGGACGCCAGUCUGCAUGGAGCCGACCUUGAAAUACCACCCUUUAAUGUUUGAUGUUCUAACGUGGACCCGUGAUCCGGGUUGCGGACAGUGUCUGGUGGGUAGUUUGACUGGGGCGGUCUCCUCCUAAAGAGUAACGGAGGAGCACGAAGGUUGGCUAAUCCUGGUCGGACAUCAGGAGGUUAGUGCAAUGGCAUAAGCCAGCUUGACUGCGAGCGUGACGGCGCGAGCAGGUGCGAAAGCAGGUCAUAGUGAUCCGGUGGUUCUGAAUGGAAGGGCCAUCGCUCAACGGAUAAAAGGUACUCCGGGGAUAACAGGCUGAUACCGCCCAAGAGUUCAUAUCGACGGCGGUGUUUGGCACCUCGAUGUCGGCUCAUCACAUCCUGGGGCUGAAGUAGGUCCCAAGGGUAUGGCUGUUCGCCAUUUAAAGUGGUACGCGAGCUGGGUUUAGAACGUCGUGAGACAGUUCGGUCCCUAUCUGCCGUGGGCGCUGGAGAACUGAGGGGGGCUGCUCCUAGUACGAGAGGACCGGAGUGGACGCAUCACUGGUGUUCGGGUUGUCAUGCCAAUGGCACUGCCCGGUAGCUAAAUGCGGAAGAGAUAAGUGCUGAAAGCAUCUAAGCACGAAACUUGCCCCGAG